CCUACGGGAGGCAGCAGUAGGGAAUAUUGCUCAAUGGGGGAAACCCUGAAGCAGCAACGCCGCGUGGGGGAUGAAGUUUUUCGGAUUGUAAACCUCUUUUGUUAGAGAAGAAAAUGACGGUAUCUAACGAAUAAGCACCGGCUAACUACGUGCCAGCAGCCGCGGUAAUACGGAGGGUGCAAGCGUUACGCGGAUUUACUGGGGGUAAAGAGCGCGUAGGCGGGAUAGCAAGUCAGAUGUGAAAUCCUGUGGCUUAACCAUAGAACUGCAUUUGAAACUGUUAUACUAGAGUAUGGGAGAGGUAAGUGGAAUUCUUAGUGUAGGGGUGAAAUGCGUAGAGAUUAAGAGGAAUACUCAUUGCGAAGGCGACCUGCUAGAACGUAACUGACGCUGAGGCUCGAAAGCGUGGGGAGCAAACAGGAUUAGAUACCCGGGUAGUC
rnacentral:rRNA from 1 species